rnacentral:rRNA from 1 species
CGAUGACCUGGAGCUUGCUCUGGUGAUUAGUGGCGAACGGGUGAGUAACACGUGAGUAACCUGCCCUCCACUCUGGGAUAAGCACUGGAAACGGUGUCUAAUACCGGAUACGAGCUUCCGCCGCAUGGUGAGGAGCUGGAAAGAAUUUUGGUGGGGGAUGGACUCGCGGCCUAUCAGGUAGUUGGUGAGGUAAUGGCUCACCAAGCCGACGACGGGUAGCCGGCCUGAGAGGGUGACCGGCCACACUGGGACUGAGACACGGCCCAGACUCCUACGGGAGGCAGCAGUGGGGAAUAUUGCACAAUGGGCGAAAGCCUGAUGCAGCAACGCCGCGUGAGGGACGACGGCCUUCGGGUUGUAAACCUCUUUUAGUAGGGAAGAAGCGAAAGUGACGGUACCUGCAGAAAAAGCACCGGCUAACUACGUGCCAGCAGCCGCGGUAAUACGUAGGGUGCAAGCGUUGUCCGGAAUUAUUGGGCGUAAAGAGCUCGUAGGCGGUUUGUCGCGUCUGCUGUGAAAUCCGGAGGCUCAACCUCCGGCCUGCAGUGGGUACGGGCAGACUAGAGUGCGGUAGGGGAGAUUGGAAUUCCUGGUGUAGCGGUGGAAUGCGCAGAUAUCAGGAGGAACACCAAUGGCGAAGGCAGAUCUCUGGGCCGUAACUGACGCUGAGGAGCG